rnacentral:rRNA from 1 species
ACCCGCACAAGCGGUGGAUGAUGUGGAUUAAUUCGACGCAACGCGAAGAACCUUACCAGGGCUUGACAUCCCCUGACCGCGUAUGAAAGUACGUUUUCACCCUCGGGUGACAGGGAGACAGGUGGUGCAUGGUUGUCGUCAGCUCGUGUCGUGAGAUGUUGGGUUAAGUCCCCGCAACGAGCGCAACCCCUACGUUUAGUUGCUAACGCGUGAAGGCGAGCACUCUAGACGAACUGCCGUUGACAAAACGGAGGAAGGUGGGGAUGACGUCAAAUCAUCAUGCCCCUUAUGUUCUGGGCUACACACGUGCUACAAUGGCCGGUACAGACGGAGGCGAAGCCGCGAAGCGGAGCAAAUCCGAAAAAGCCGGUCUCAGUUCGGAUUGCAGGCUGCAAUUCGCCUGCAUGAAGUCGGAAUCGCUAGUAAUCGCAGGUCAGCAUACUGCGGUGAAUACGUUCCCGGGCCUU